rnacentral:rRNA from 1 species
UACGUAGGGCGCAAGCGUUGUCCGGAAUUAUUGGGCGUAAAGAGCUCGUAGGCGGUCUGUUGCGUCCGCUGUGAAAACCCGGGGCUUAACCCCUGGCUUGCAGUGGAUACGGACAGACUAGAGGUAGGUAGGGGAGAAUGGAAUUCCCGGUGUAGCGGUGAAAUGCGCAGAUAUCGGGAGGAACACCGGUGGCGAAGGCGGGUCUCUGGGCCGUAACUGACGCUGAGGAGCGAAAGCGUGGGGAGCGAACAGG